UGGCUCAGCAGCACAGCGCCUGCCUGGCAAGCAUGAGGCCCUGAGUUCAAUUCUCAG
rnacentral:tRNA from 1 species